rfam:Physcomitrella patens subsp. patens PHYPAscaffold_291 genomic scaffold, whole genome shotgun sequence.
UGGGAUGUUGGGCAUGCCCAACACGAUCUGUCAACAUUCUAUGUUAUAUUGACGGGUCGUGAUGGGCACUCUCAAUGUCCA